rnacentral:rRNA from 1 species
CAGUCGCCGCGGGAAUACGAAGGGGGCUAGCGUUGCUCGGAAUGACUGGGCGUAAAGGGCGCGUAGGCGGCGAUCAAAGUCAGGCGUGAAAUUCCUGGGCUCAACCUGGGGGCUGCGUUUGAUACUUGAUUGCUAGAGUGGGGAAGAGGAAAGUGGAAUUCCAUGUGUAGCGGUGAAAUGCGCAGAGAUAUGGAGGAACACCAGUGGCGAAGGCGACUUUCUGGUCUGUAACUGACGCUGAUGUGCGAAAGCGUGGGGAUCAAACAGGAUUAGAUACCCCCGUAGUCCCUGUCUCUUAUAC